GGAAGUCAUCGUGCUUUGGAUAGUGUUCCAAUAGGAGUUCUAUGUGGUAUCCACAUUCCCAAAUUGUUUACUCCUAUAGUGCUUCCUUUCAAACAAAAAGUUGAGAGGCAAUGAAUCCAGUGAGGAACUAUAUUGCUUGAAACAAAGAAUCCCAGUAUUUUUUUUUUUUAACUGGAUAAUUGAAUGUUUUAAGUGAGUCAGUACAUUUAAAUAGCAUUUUCAGGUUCAGUAUGAAGAAAAUGGGGUAUUUUCUCUCUAUUUUUAACCGCAGCCUCACAUAAAGAUCUGAGAGCUAAUCCUAUAAAGAGAUUUCCGAGACAAAGAAUAAAGGUAAAACUAGUAAUAGAACAUUGGUAUUGGUAUCCAGUUACCAUUUGUUGCUAAUCUCUAAGUCUCCAGUAGCGAAAACCCAGAUGAUCUGCAUGAUGGAAACUUGGAGUACCGACUUGGUAGGAAGAAUUAAAGAAGCAGGAAAUGGAUAUCGAAUGCGAAAAAUAAUUCUUUGAAAAAAUUGAUGUUUAUUUGUGAUUCUGACAACCGACUUAUCUCCUCCCUAGUCCGAUAAGUCCUGCCAAAAGAAUUCCUUCCAAGAAAAUUCCUGAAAUAAAGUUUGAUGGAAAACACGACCUUCAGCAUCCAGUAAACAACAGUUAGAAAAGAUAAAUGGUUUUAUAAUGUCAAACCUUUCUAACGUAACAGGCAUGACUAAUUUCUAGGUGGGAAGUAGAGGCUGUCUCUCAUCAUGUCCUACACGAUGAGUAAUCUCUUCAUUUGCUCCAGCUGCCAUGUUUAUGAUUGAAUCUUUUGACCUCUGCCCGUCUUGAACAUCCAUUAGUUCCACCACCCCAUUCUGCUGUUCCUCUUUGACUUUUGAUAGUGAUGAGAAAAACUGGUGCAUUGAGAUGAACACAACAGAAAUUCCCAACAUGAAAUUCAUGGUCAAAGUAUGACCAAACAUUGCUGCUGAUGCAAUGCCUGUGAAGAUUGUGGCAACUGUUGAAGAGUACUUCUUCAGGAUUGUAUCUGCAUAUUUGAAGAAAAAAGAGGACAAUAUUCCUUGGGCUGCAUUGUUACAUAUUAGAAGCAUGGUGGCCUUUGAAUGACCUUGCAGGAUGUCAAAGCUACUGGGACCUUUGACAAUGGCGGUUCCCAAUAUUGCUAGAAAAUUGAAGAUAGCACCAUAUCCAUACAAAAAUAAGUUCUGAAGAUAUAUGCUUGUAUCAUAUUGGCUCUUCAGAGCAUACUCGUUGUAGACUGAGGCCAACGAUGGAACAGUUACAAAUAUAAGUGUGUAAACAUAUGCACCCGUUGCAACUGGAAGGCCCAUUGCAGUACUACCUUCAGGUAAAGAACGCAGCUGAUUUAUACUAAUCCCAAUGAGCAACAAAGCAAGAGCCUCCCACUGAAGAACAGAAAAUCGGCGUCUCAUUAUUAUCUUUAGCAACACAGCAAUCACCAAAACCUUCAGAUUGCUUAGCAUUUUCACUGUUGCAGGAUUGAAAUAUAACUGCAUGGUGAACUUUAGAUAAUUAUUGAUAGCAUAUAGAAGAGCUGGAACAGCUAGAAGAACAUUGUUACGAGCUGCCUGUACAAAUGUAGAAAAUGAGAGAAGAGGCUUCUCUCCAACUUUCUGGUGCUUUGCCUGGAACAAAAGCAUAACAAUCGCAAAUAGAGCCUUUGCAGCUUCUGUCAAGAAGUUGACACUAACUGGGCUAAACAUGAAUUUCCCAUCCACCUUGGACAUGUACACCAAAAUAGGCUGUAAACCGACUAGUAUGCAAUCACCAGCAACUAAGAGCACAUUGAGGGCACGUUGCUUUGAUGAUACCCUGCUCUUAUGUCGGUCAUAAGCUCUUGAAAAAGGUUUGGUAUUUGGUGAAACCAAUUUCGAAUGGCAGACGCUGCAUUCUAUCAUCCCGUUUUUCAUUGGUUCACCCCUAUUACUAUCACACUCCUCAGUCUUCACAAAACUGAAUCUAAACCCACUUUCUCUCAACCAAUCAUUGUCCAAAACUGCCCUCCGCGCCGGUGAAAUUCCAGAACCAGAUCCACCGUUCACGCCUCCAGAACUCAAUUGUCUCUAUUUCUAUCACUUUCUCUUGCUCUCUCGCUACCUGAGAGACUCCAAUUCCAAAAGGUUGAAGAUUUUAAGGGCUCAAACGAGAACUUGAAUUCUCUGAGAAUGUUUAAAGAGAUGCGAAGAAUAUGCACACACAGGGACUCCGAGGGAGAGAGGGGUACGGCUUAAAUGCGGAAUUUUUAUUAUAAAUAUAAAAUUCACUUGCUUUGAAUUCACUCGCAAACUCGGCCUCGAGGCGGAAGGCGCUAUUAUGGCUUUUUCUAGAGUGGGGUGGAAGACUUUCGUAGUAGCUUUUGGC
rnacentral:misc_RNA from 1 species